AAGCUUAGGAUAAACUUAAACCAAGGGCCUUCAAAGCCCUAAACAGGGGCUCAACCCCCUAGCUUCU
rnacentral:tRNA from 1 species